AGAUGUGGGGAGCAGUCUCACGGAUUUGACCUCUGGCACGAAGACUAGCCCUCCAACCAGAGUUCAUGUGGAUCACACAUACGCGAUGCAAGGCGCGAUGGAUGGACAUGGCCCGCCGUCUGGAGGAAACGAUGUGUGGGCACCUGAACCUUCCCCUACCGAUUAUGAUGCGUCGGUGUCUUCGACUUCUGCGGUUCCUCACCAACGGUCCUGUGCCACCCGCACCGAGGGCAAGGGGA